GUGCAUCUGCAAAAAUGGGCGCCCAGCUCCUGGUACUCCAGGCCUGAUAUGUAUAAAAAUCUGUCUGAUACGACAAGCACAAGGAUAAAUAUAUGUGACGAUAUGGCACAUCACUGUUAUUAAUUUUUCUCGCGUGAUUGGGCAGUAUUAGAAAAUAGAGCAUACUUA